rnacentral:rRNA from 1 species
CCUACGGGUGGCUGCAGUGGGGAAUAUUGGACAAUGGGCGAAAGCCUGAUCCAGCCAUGCCGCGUGUGUGAAGAAGGCCUUCGGGUUGUAAAGCACUUUCAGUGGGGAAGAAAGCCUUGGGGCUAAUACCCUCGAGGAAGGACAUCACCCACAGAAGAAGCACCGGCUAACUCCGUGCCAGCAGCCGCGGUACUACGGAGGGUGCGAGCGUUAAUCGGAAUUACUGGGCGUAAAGCGCGCGUAGGCGGUCUGAUAAGCCGGUUGUGAAAGCCCCGGGCUCAACCUGGGAACGGCAUCCGGAACUGUCAGGCUAGAGUGCAGGAGAGGAAGGUAGAAUUCCCGGUGUAGCGGUGACAUGCGUAGAGAUCGGGAGGAAUACCAGUGGCGAAGGCGGCCUUCUGGACUGACACUGACGCUGAGGUGCGAAAGCGUGGGUAGCAAACAGGAUUAGAUACCCGAGUAGUC